UUUCUUUUCUUUGCUCAAUUCUUCUGCUUUAUAAGCUCUCUCUGCCAAUGUAGCAAACUCUCAAAUUUCAAGAAUUCCGAUCAGUAACUUAAUGUCUUCAUUCAACCCUUCUUCGAAUCGUUUGCACAUUUCAGCUUCUGACUGUACCCAUUCUCGAGCAUAUUUACUCAAUCGAACAAAUUCUCUUUCAUAUUCAGAUACUGAUCU
rnacentral:lncRNA from 1 species